rnacentral:rRNA from 1 species
AACGCGAAGAACCUUACCUGGGCUCGAAAUGUAGAGGAUGAUAUCAGAGAUGGUGUUUCCCGAAAGGGUCUUUAUAUAGGUGCUGCAUGGCUGUCGUCAGCUCGUGCCGUGAGGUGUUUGGUUAAGUCCAGCAACGAGCGCAACCCUUAUCGUUAGUUGCCAACGCGUAGAGGCGGGAACUCUAACGAGACUGCCUGGGUUAACCAGGAGGAAGGUGAGGAUGACGUCAAGUCCGCAUGGCCUUUAUGUCCAGGGCUACACACGUGCUACAAUGGUCGGUACAGAAGGCGGCGAAACCGCAAGGCGAAGCAAAUCCUUUAAAACCGAUCUCAGUUCAGAUUGUAGUCUGCAACUCGGCUACAUGAAGUUGGAAUUGCUAGUAAUGGCGUGUCAGCAACAACGCCGUGAAUACGUUCCCGGGCCUUGUACACACCGCGUGUCU